AUUGACCGCUGGCGGCAGGCCUAACACAUGCAAGUCGAACGAGUGGCGGACGGGUGAGGAAUGUCUGGGAAACUGCCUGCUGGAGGGGGAUAACGACUGGAAACGGUAGAUAAUACCGCAUACCAUCGGAUGUGCCCAGAUGGGAUUAGCUAGUAGGUGGGGUAAGGGCUCACCUAGGCGACGAGCCCUAGCUGGUCUGAGAGGAUGACCAGCCACACUGGAACUGAGACACGGUCCAGACUCCUACGGGAGGCAGCAGUGGGGAAUAUUGCACAAUGGGCGCAAGCCUGAUGCAGCCAUGCCGCGUGUAUGAAGAAGGCCUUCGGGUUGUAAAGUACUUUCAGUGGGGAGGCGUUACCCGCAGAAGAAGCACCGGCUAACUCCGUGCCAGCAGCCGCGGUAAUAC
rnacentral:rRNA from 1 species